rnacentral:lncRNA from 1 species
UCUUUCAGAUAGUAAUAAGAACGACGAAACUCAUGAAGAUGGAUAAUUUGGAAACGGCGUUUGAAGAAGAUGGGAUCGGAGAUAUUAGCGUUCCUAUUCAUGCUUGGAAUAAAAAUCACGGUUCAAAAUCGAUGAACAUGGAUUUCUACUCAUGGAGUUCCUAUUCAUGCUUGGAAUACGCGUACAUUUCAAAAAAUUGCUGAGAAUUGGGGAACUUUCGUUAAUGUUGACAAAGAUACUCUGCCAGCGGACUGCUUUGUUGGUGCUAAUGCUCAGAUUAUUACGAGCCACAGUGGAAAAAUUGAACAUUCUUGUAAAUGGACAUGGUUUAUUCUAUUCCAACAUCAGAAAUAGAUUUGGCAUUAUAGCCUAAGUUGAUUAUUUCUAAU